rnacentral:hammerhead_ribozyme from 1 species
CAGUUGACGAGUCCAAAAUAAGACGAAACGCGCGUCCUG